rnacentral:rRNA from 1 species
UACAUGGGGUGCAAGCGUUGCUCGGAAUCAUUGGGCGUAAAGCGCACGUAGGCGGCACAUCAAGUCGGAUGUGAAAUCCCUCGGCUCAACCAAGGAAGUGCAUCCGAAACUGGCGAGCUUGAGUACGGGAGAGGAUCGCGGAAUUCCCGGUGUAGAGGUGAAAUUCGUAGAUAUCGGGAGGAACACCGGUGGCGAAGGCGGCAUCCUGGACCAACACUGACGCUGAGGAGCGAAAGCCAGGGGAGCAAACGGG